CUCAACAUUUGUUAUUUGUCUCUGCUAUCUGGAUGAUGCUUUAAUUGGUUAUUGUAUGUCUUGACUUCUCUUCGACACGGAUCUCUGUAAUUAUCUGCCAUAUCAUCAAGGAUGCAAGGGUAUUACAGUUUCCUUAUUAUUUAUUUUUUAGCUUUAGGUUAAUCAACCAGUUGUUAUAUUUCUUCACUUCAUAUACUUUUGUCAGAAGCUUUGAUUCCAUGGACUUUUAUAUUUAGUACUGUCAUAGAUAAAUGUAAAUAAAGGGUUAAAACCUUUGCCUCAGUUGAAUCCUUCCAUGUCUGAAAGGGUUAAACGUUAAUUCCUUCACUUCUGCUUUUAUCGGCAGUCUUUGCAGCACAUUCCUUUGCAUGUAAUGUUACUUUUGUUUUAACCUUGUUAUUCUAGCAUAGCUUAGAUAACACUUUCCCAAUUAAGUAAUUGUUGCUUGUUUUCUUGUACACAUGCGCAGUAGACUAAUUCCAUAAUAAAUAUGCAAUGAUUUUGCAAUUAAAGAUGAGAUGAUAUUCAAGCUACAACUAAGUGUGUCUGUGGUUUUAUUAUCGGUUCUCCCAAGCACUCGAACAUCUAAUUAGGAGUCUCUGGUUAUCUCUUGAAUGAUCUUAUCCAUGAUAAAUUUCUAUAUCAGUACCCAACUUCACAGAAGUAAUUAUUUGCCAAUGAGUCCACAAGCUUGGAUUCUUUACUCUAAGAUCUCUGUGGACUCCCCUCUCUAAAAAUGUGUACCUUCAAUUCACUUGUUUAUUCACCAAUUGCCAUAGUUCUGUCCACUACUACUACUGCCUAAUAAAGUUGACUAAUUUCCUGGCUGAACAUGGUUUUUGUUUCUGAGGAUGCAUAUAUUUUAUGCAUUCCUCUGUUUAAACUAGGACUUGUUCCUUUUACAUGGUUAUAUUAUUUUGCCUUUUUAAUACAUGAUAUAUAUUCCUCUGCUCACCUUUUCUCUAUCCAGGAUCUUGCUUUUGUUCUUGUGUUUUAAAAAUAUGUAUAAAAUAUACAACAGAAAAAAUAGGAAUAUUUAACCUGUAUCUUGGCUCAUUUUGAGGAUGCCUUAGGACGGGGCUUAGCUUCAAAGGACAUGCAGUUUUAUAUGUAUCUGUAAAGUCCAGUUCAGGCAUCAAUAAACAGUAUUAUUUUUAUAGGCAGUAAUGUUAAUUUAUCUAUGCACAUUAUGUAGAUUUUAAGCACUUUCAAUUUUUGCACCUUUUUUUUUUUUUACUAGACC